rnacentral:rRNA from 1 species
GUCAGCCUACGGGACGCAGCAGUAAGGAAUAUUGGUCAAUGGGCGGAAGCCUGAGCCAGCCAAGUCGCGUGAGGGAAGAAGGCCCUGCGGGUCGCAGACCUCUUUGGACGGGGAGCAAGGCCGCCGACGUGUCGGCGGAAGGAGAGUACCCGUAGAACAAGCAUCGGCUAACUCCGUGCCAGCAGCCGCGGUAAUACGGAGGAUACGAGCGUUAUCCGGAUUUAUUGGGUUUAAAGGGUGCGCAGGCGGCACGGCAAGCCGGCGGUCAAAUCGCGGGGCUCAACCCCGCCCAGCCGUC